UACGUAGGGGGCUAGCGUUGUCCGGAAUCAUUGGGCGUAAAGCGCGUGUAGGCGGUCCGGUAAGUCCGCUGUGAAAGUCGGGGGCUCAACCCUCGAAUGCCGGUGGAUACUGUCGGGCUAGAGUGCAGAAGAGGCGAGUGGAAUUCCUGGUGUAGCGGUGAAAUGCGCAGAUAUCAGGAGGAACACCUAUUGCGAAGGCAGCUCGCUGGGACGUAACUGACGCUGAGACGCGAAAGCGUGGGGAGCAAACAGG
rnacentral:rRNA from 1 species